ensembl:snRNA LOC120102760 U2 spliceosomal RNA
AUCGCUUCUCGGCCUUUUGGCUAAGAUCAAGUGUAGUAUCUAAUACAUCGCCAACAAUCAUGAGCCUAAAAAUGACCAAAUGACCAAAGUAAUAUAUACUAUCCUCUGAAGUUAAAAUCUAUUCAUGGUGAGUGUAGAAAUA